rnacentral:rRNA from 1 species
UACGUAGGGUGCAAGCGUUGUCCGGAAUUAUUGGGCGUAAAGAGCUCGUAGGCGGUCUGUCGCGUCGGCUGUGAAAACUCGGGGCUCAACCCCGAGCCUGCAGUCGAUACGGGCAGACUAGAGUUCGGUAGGGGAGACUGGAAUUCCUGGUGUAGCGGUGGAAUGCGCAGAUAUCAGGAGGAACACCGGUGGCGAAGGCGGGUCUCUGGGCAGUAACUGACGCUGAGGAGCGAAAGCGUGGGGAGCGAACAGG